CUCUGCCGGCGGCCAUCCCGCCUGUGCCCGGCUUUCGGGAAGCUGCCCGCGCUCUCCCGCCGCCAGGCUGUCUUGUGUGUUUCAAACACGUCGCAUUUCCAUGAGCCCCGGGAGAAGAAGUCUCGAUGGAGAGCUCUGGGCCCGCCAGGGAAAUCCUUUUUUGGGCAACCGUCUUCCUUGUCUCAGCUGAAAUGACCCCGAGCUGGGAUAGCACCUCCUGCAGCCCUCUAUGGCCAAACCUCCUUGAUUAUUUUCCUCGGUAUUUCGAUGAAAUAUGUAUACUAGUGUCUUUACAAAUAAUUUGUUGGGUUGAAAGUAUGGUUGUUAGUGUCUUUGAAAAGGGUCCUAACGUCUCUGCUGUGAUCUUCAAGCAGUGGGUUUGUUGCAGAGCCCAGACAGCUUGGUUCCUAAGAUAGACAAGGCUCUGCACAAGGCUCAGUUUCUGAACUUUGGGAUAAAACAAUAGGUUCAAUGUGGGAUAUGUGGUGGGCACUUUGGGAAGGCUGCAUCUCGGGGUUCACUGUUGUUUGUCUCUGCCCCGAUACAGGAAAAGGUGGUUCCGGGUGGUCGCACAGUGAAGGACAAGUCUGGACUCUCAGGUUUUCUGUCUUCAAUCUUGUUUAUUAAUUCUUAUCUACAAUAUUUUCUCUCUGCCCAGCCGAGGUCCGCUCAGCAGGACAGCCAAGUGCACUCUCCCCCGCCCACGGGACAGUUGUGUCUUUUAUAGUAAAAAUUACAUCUAUCAUAUUUACCUUUAAUUCCUAAUACUUUUCACCCUUCUUGAGAAGUGUACCUUCACCAUGAACCAAUCCAAAAGUGCCAACAUCAGCACAGAAAUUGGAAGACAUUAAGAAGAAAGAAGAACCCAGGACCACGCCCUGAAUCCUCCAUCUUGUCUUCAUGAACCCCCUGUACCUAAAUUCUAAAAUUUUUACUUCACCUUGCAAACACACUAUUCACACUCUAAAACUUUCCAUUUCCUCAUACACAGAUGUUUCAUCUCUAGAUGGAUCAAAGUCAAGCCACCAAACACUUUUGGCAACAUUCCAGGAUCUCCGAGCCCCCCCCAAGGGUUCUCUCGGCGACUCUGGACAUUCAGAGUGAUGUGUUGAGUUCCCACAGCUGCACCUUCCCAUUACCUUAGACAGUGGGGACAGGAAGAGGGCAUCGUGUGGCCGGGCGUUUGGCACAAAAGGGUGGCUGAGUCCUCUGAUACCCCCAGAGAGAAAACCCCGCAGGCGUGCGCCCCGGUGGACUCUCUCUCUUUAUUCGAAUAAAGUUGAAGGACUCCUCUGUCUUCUUUUUGGGUGUAAACCUCUGUCAUUUGUGGAUUUUCGUGACAUUUUUCAGGUUGUCUGUAAAACUGCAACAGAGAUGGAGGAAAAACAAGUACAGGGAGGGAGAGGGUGCAGAGCAGUUUCCAGGGUUUACCUGAGCUCAGCGAAGCUGAAUUGCUGUUGGUUCAAAACAUCAUCGAUGUCCUUACUCAAAAAGAAGAAUUGCAGAAACAAAUGCAGAAAGAGAACACAGAUGUCUCCCAGGAAGAGAUACAAUGUGAAGAACUUGAGUGAGGGGAGGAGGACAGAUGCCCACACUUCUUUUCCAGCUCCUGCAACUAUAUAGGCAUUGCCAAAACUUUCCUUUGAUUCUAAUCCCUGACUGUUAUUCCCUUAUCUAUUUCCUUGGAUCCCAGUUCUUGCCUUGGAGGCUAUUUCCUUCCUGAUAUUUCUUUGACUCUCAUUGAAUGUUACUUCCUUCACAGUUCUUUCCCUGGAGGUUAUUUCCUAAUAAAUUCUGGUUUUGUUCA